UGUGAUGUGUUUCGUUUCGUCUGAGAUGAACAGUUUUUGAGCAUAUGAUAUCUUGAACUGUUUUUUGUUAAUGGUGAGACAGAAUGCUCCAAAGAAUAAAACCACCCUGAAAGAGCUUCUUCCUUCGACAGAAAAUAAGCCAUAAACAACUGUUUUGCAUCACUUUCAUUGCUAUUUACGUUUCCAGCAAGUAACUUGCCUUAUCUAGUCAUAAGGCUUGAUUCUUCAAUUCUAAUUUCUUGGCACCAACCAGUUUGUUCUCUAAUGGUGAGAUACUCGCAUUUCUUGUCCUAGGGCGUGCCCUUCAAUGCCCCGAAUCAAAGCUUGGGACUUACCUUCCAAUGCAUCACAAAAUUAUGGGAUCGAGAAGAUGAGCACGGUGUGGGAAGAUUUAAAACCAACUUCAUGUUUGACUGAAGUGGAUCCACGAGAAAUGCUAUGAAUUUAUCAAAGACAUGUAUUAGGAAAUUAUACACCAUCACAUUUACACAAAUUUUACAGGUAAGAGUAUCAAGAAUGAUAACAGACGAUAUUCUUUCCACCUUGGCAGUCACAUUUUCAUGUUCUUCAUGCUUUAACCUCAAAUCUGUCUGUCAAUCCAUGAUAUCCCAGAAUGUCUUUACCAGUAAAUUGUAUCCAAUUCAACACCAAACAAGAAAACCCACCCCCAAAAAACUAAUGUAUAAUGAAAUAUAUAAAUAAAUGCCCCAGACUUCAUAAGAA